rnacentral:tRNA from 1 species
UGGGAAGAUAGCGAAGAGGCUAAACGCGGCGGACUGUAAAUCCGCUCCUUCGGGUUCAGUGGUUCGAAUCCACUUCUUCCCACCAU